ensembl:lncRNA
UAGCAGGUUGCUUUCCUGAGUCAGACUACGUCCUGUCCUUCACACAAUAACACCGGCACCUCCGAGUCAUGAAGCGGCGAAACGCGACGCGAGCCUCCCGCACGGCACGAGGCUGCGAUCGGUCUCCUCACAGUUACGGAGUCUCACUGCUCCGCUUUCAUGUGGCAUAAAUGGCACCACAUCACAUUUAUUUUGUAUCCAGAAAAAAACAGAAACCCUUCAGAGAGCGACUCACAGCCUCUGAGAGUCUUAGACGUCGAUCUGAAGAUACAAUAGAGGUGUUUUUUAAGAUGAUUCAUUUAGCAGGAAGCACUCAUAUAAACCACACACACUCUCACUGCUCCGCUUUCACGGCGCAUAAAUGGCACCACAUUACAUUUAUUUUGCAUUCAGAAAAAAAAUCAUAAACCCUUCAGAGAGCAACUCACUCGAUCUGAAGAUACAAUGGAGGUGUGUUUUUUUUAAUGAUUUAUUCAGCAGGAAGCACUCAUAUAAGCCACACACAUCAUCUCUGAACAGCAUUAUUUCAUAACCCCAAACUCUGAUUUGUAUACAGAGCCAAAUAAAACAUGUUCCCCACGCCCCACUUUUAACCUUUCCAAUCAGGUUCAAUAUACUGAACAGAAAAUACACACAACAAAUGCAUAGAAUCAUUAGUUUAUACCACCCCAAAUAGUUUAAAAGCAAAGCAAAUUUCAUAAUAAUCUAAACUAUUCAUUGUCUUUACAUGUGCAUUAAUCAGAAUUAUGAAAACAUCAAAUGAGCCUUUAUUCUAAAAUCAUUCACUCAUAAUGAACAUCUUAUAACUUUGCUGCUCCACGCAGCUUUCCGGCCGUUUUAAACUCUUAGUUCUGGUUUUAUUUGGUAUUUAUUUGAAACGGCCUCCAGGUUUCUCACAUGAGUCAAAGCAGGAGUCCAAGAUCCCUGAGAUACAACAUGUCAACUGUGUACAAACGUAUUAUAAAGUUAUAAUGAAUUAAUCUCCACUUCCACAGCGAAGAUCAAUAUCACAAUUGAUCAGAAAGGCACCACAUCAUGUGGUUUUACCUUCAGGUGAGCUGAUGGACAGUUACAGUUAACCUUCCCGAACAAGUUUAAACACCGUCAUAUGACAUAUCUUAAUACUUAUACUCCUCCCCUCUAUAUAACUAGUUAUAAUACAUGAUAUAAUAUAAUAUUAAUAGUUUUCUAUCUGCAGUUUUCUUAUCUUAUUUCAUAAUUUGUCAAUAAGGCACUGAUGAUGAGGACUUAAAAAAACAUUAUCGAGAACAUUGACACUUCCCUUCUUCCUUGUUCAGACGAUGUGGUUUUGCACCACAUCGUCUCCUACGGGGGUCUUUAUGUUGACUACCACCUGUUCACAUGGUUGAGUGUAAAAAACUCCCGUUGUCCCAGAUCCUCUCGCUCUCCAUUUCUUGUAACACCAAAGAGCCACAACAACUAAAAUAACAAUACCAAUUAAACCGAUGACAAUAAAAACAAAGGAAGUCAUUGGCAGACACCGACUCUCAGUGAUGCAGAUCAUGGUGGAGUUCACUGAAAGACGAGACAAAGAUGAGAGAAAAUGAGUCAUUCCAUUUAGCAUUUUUUCAAAAACAUGGUCAUUAUUAGUUACGUUAGCAAUGUGGCUCUAUGGAUGAUGUCUGUUGUUCCACCACUUUGCUCCGACCUGAAAGAUCUCAUCUGGCCUUCCCUGUGGUUUUAUCUUGUAAAAAUGCAUUUCUUCUUUUGUAUUAUUAAAUUGGCAAAGCAAUACAUUUAUCAGUACGAUUGUUACAUGGCAGACGGGGACGGUCUGCAUGUGUUCUUGUCGUUCUCCCUCCUGCUCAUUGGUUUCUCUCCCCCAGUGAUUAUGCUGAUUGGCCAACUCCAAACACAGGUGGAAAGCAAUCAGCCGUUCCGGUGGCGGUCCAUAAAGGAAGACCCCUGAGAA